rnacentral:rRNA from 1 species
UACGUAGGGGGCAAGCGUUGUCCGGAUUCAUUGGGCGUAAAGAGCGUGUAGGCGGCCAGGUAGGUCGGUUGUGAAAACUGGAGGCUCAACCUUCAGAGGUCGACCGAAACCAUCUGGCUAGAGUCCGGGAGAGGAGAGUGGAAUUCCUGGUGUAGCGGUGAAAUGACGCAGAUAUCAGGAAGAACACCCGUGGCGAAAGCGGCUCUCUGGAACGGUACUGGACGCUGAGACGCGAAAGCGUGGGGAGCGAACAGG